rnacentral:rRNA from 1 species
UACCAGCACCCCGAGUGGUCGGGACGAUUAUUGGGCCUAAAGCAUCCGUAGCCGGCCUUACAAGUCCUCCGUUAAAUCCAGCUGCUUAACAGAUGGGCUGCGGAGGAUACUAUAAGACUAGGAGGCAGGAGAGGCAAGCGGUACUCAGUGGGUAGGGGGUAAAAAUCCGUUGAUCCAUUGAAGACCACCAGUGGCGAAGGCGGCUUGCCAGAACGCGCUCGACGGUGAGGGAUGAAAGCUGGGGGGAGCAAACCGGG